UGCACCAGUUCUCGUAUGAUCACUGAAGUUAAGCAAUAUAGAGUCUGGUCAGUACCUAGAUGAGUGACUACUUGGGAAUACUAGGUGCUGUA